UCAAAUAGAAGAGACAGAAGAGCAUCGUCAGUUCUACAUCGAAGACACCAUGAGGACUCUCAGCUUUACAGUGGGACUGCUGCUGCUGCUCACUGUUCACCACUGCACUGCCAUGCCUCGUGGACUAAAUGAAAUGUCACCUGGAUCAUGCUGCUUUAAACUCUUUCCCAGAAGAAUACCAAAGGCACACAUUAUCUCCAUCAUCAAAACUCACAACAGAUGCUCUAAAAAGGCGUUUGUGGUCAAUACUCCCAAUGGACUGAUAUGUGUGAGCGAGGCUCUGGACUGGGCUAGGACAGCUUUCAACAAGCAGCACGUCUCCGAGAAUCAGUGAAGAUCCUCACUAUCCAUGAAGAGCUCCACCAACUCCACCUCCAGCUAUGAUAGAGCUCCGCCUGACAUUGGCAACCUACAUAAUUACAUCAAUUGACUAGUGCUGUGUCAUUUUCAUGCAACUGUGAGUGUUAACCAUUUAAUGAUUAAUCCCAUAGACCCUUGCUUUGCCUGACUUUUAAUCAUUAAAGUUUCACUUGUUAAAACAGA